UCAGGAUGAACGCUGGCGGCGUGCUAACACAUGCAAGUCGAACGGAGCUUAGAAGGAAGCUUGCUUCAUUAAGCUAGUGGCGGACGGGUGAGUAACGCGUGAGCAACCUGCCCUCGAGUGGGGGAAUAACAUCGAGAAAUCGGUGCUAAUACCGCAUAAUGUCGAGAGACCGCAUGAUCUUUCGACCAAAGGAUUUAUUCGCUUGAGGAUGGGCUCGCGUCCGAUUAGCUAGUUGGUGAGGUAACGGCCCACCAAGGCUUCGAUCGGUAGCCGAACUGAGAGGUUGAUCGGCCACAUUGGGACUGAGACACGGCCCAGACUCCUACGGGAGGCAGCAGUGGGGAAUAUUGGGCAAUGGGCGAAAGCCUGACCCAGCAACGCCGCGUGAAGGAUGAAGGUCUUCGGAUUGUAAACUUCUUUGAUUGGGGAAGAAUAAAAUGACCUACCCAAAGAACAAGCCACGGCUAACUACGUGCCAGCAGCGGC
rnacentral:rRNA from 1 species